GGGUUGUGAGGUUAAGCGACUAAGCGUACACGGUGGAUGCCCUGGCAGUCAGAGGCGAUGAAGGACGUGCUAAUCUGCGAUAAGCGUCGGUAAGGUGAUAUGAACCGUUAUAACCGGCGAUUUCCGAAUGGGGAAACCCAGUGUGAUUCGUCACACUAUCAUUAACUGAAUCCAUAGGUUAAUGAGGCGAACCGGGGGAACUGAAACAUCUAAGUACCCCGAGGAAAAGAAAUCAACCGAGAUUCCCCCAGUAGCGGCGAGCGAACGGGGAGGAGCCCAGAGCCUGAAUCAGUGUGUGUGUUAGUGGAAGCGUCUGGAAAGGCGCGCGAUACAGGGUGACAGCCCCGUACACAAAAAUGCACAUGCUGUGAGCUCGAUGAGUAGGGCGGGACACGUGGUAUCCUGUCUGAAUAUGGGGGGACCAUCCUCCAAGGCUAAAUACUCCUGACUGACCGAUAGUGAACCAGUACCGUGAGGGAAAGGCGAAAAGAACCCCGGCGAGGGGAGUGAAAAAGAACCUGAAACCGUGUACGUACAAGCAGUGGGAGCACGCUUCGGCGUGUGACUGCGUACCUUUUGUAUAAUGGGUCAGCGACUUAUAUUCUGUAGCAAGGUUAACCGAAUAGGGGAGCCGAAGGGAAACCGAGUCUUAACUGGGCGUUAAGUUGCAGGGUAUAGACCCGAAACCCGGUGAUCUAGCCAUGGGCAGGUUGAAGGUUGGGUAACACUAACUGGAGGACCGAACCGACUAAUGUUGAAAAAUUAGCGGAUGACUUGUGGCUGGGGGUGAAAGGCCAAUCAAACCGGGAGAUAGCUGGUUCUCCCCGAAAGCUAUUUAGGUAGCGCCUCGUGAAUUCAUCUCCGGGGGUAGAGCACUGUUUCGGCAAGGGGGUCAUCCCGACUUACCAACCCGAUGCAAACUGCGAAUACCGGAGAAUGUUAUCACGGGAGACACACGGCGGGUGCUAACGUCCGUCGUGAAGAGGGAAACAACCCAGACCGCCAGCUAAGGUCCCAAAGUCAUGGUUAAGUGGGAAACGAUGUGGGAAGGCCCAGACAGCCAGGAUGUUGGCUUAGAAGCAGCCAUCAUUUAAAGAAAGCGUAAUAGCUCACUGGUCGAGUCGGCCUGCGCGGAAGAUGUAACGGGGCUAAACCAUGCACCGAAGCUGCGGCAGCGACACUGUGUGUUGUUGGGUAGGGGAGCGUUCUGUAAGCCUGUGAAGGUGUACUGUGAGGUAUGCUGGAGGUAUCAGAAGUGCGAAUGCUGACAUAAGUAACGAUAAAGCGGGUGAAAAGCCCGCUCGCCGGAAGACCAAGGGUUCCUGUCCAACGUUAAUCGGGGCAGGGUGAGUCGACCCCUAAGGCGAGGCCGAAAGGCGUAGUCGAUGGGAAACAGGUUAAUAUUCCUGUACUUGGUGUUACUGCGAAGGGGGGACGGAGAAGGCUAUGUUGGCCGGGCGACGGUUGUCCCGGUUUAAGCGUGUAGGCUGGUUUUCCAGGCAAAUCCGGAAAAUCAAGGCUGAGGCGUGAUGACGAGGCACUACGGUGCUGAAGCAACAAAUGCCCUGCUUCCAGGAAAAGCCUCUAAGCAUCAGGUAACAUCAAAUCGUACCCCAAACCGACACAGGUGGUCAGGUAGAGAAUACCAAGGCGCUUGAGAGAACUCGGGUGAAGGAACUAGGCAAAAUGGUGCCGUAACUUCGGGAGAAGGCACGCUGAUAUGUAGGUGAAGCGACUUGCUCGUGGAGCUGAAAUCAGUCGAAGAUACCAGCUGGCUGCAACUGUUUAUUAAAAACACAGCACUGUGCAAACACGAAAGUGGACGUAUACGGUGUGACGCCUGCCCGGUGCCGGAAGGUUAAUUGAUGGGGUUAGCGCAAGCGAAGCUCUUGAUCGAAGCCCCGGUAAACGGCGGCCGUAACUAUAACGGUCCUAAGGUAGCGAAAUUCCUUGUCGGGUAAGUUCCGACCUGCACGAAUGGCGUAAUGAUGGCCAGGCUGUCUCCACCCGAGACUCAGUGAAAUUGAACUCGCUGUGAAGAUGCAGUGUACCCGCGGCAAGACGGAAAGACCCCGUGAACCUUUACUAUAGCUUGACACUGAACAUUGAGCCUUGAUGUGUAGGAUAGGUGGGAGGCUUUGAAGUGUGGACGCCAGUCUGCAUGGAGCCGACCUUGAAAUACCACCCUUUAAUGUUUGAUGUUCUAACGUUGACCCGUAAUCCGGGUUGCGGACAGUGUCUGGUGGGUAGUUUGACUGGGGCGGUCUCCUCCUAAAGAGUAACGGAGGAGCACGAAGGUUGGCUAAUCCUGGUCGGACAUCAGGAGGUUAGUGCAAUGGCAUAAGCCAGCUUGACUGCGAGCGUGACGGCGCGAGCAGGUGCGAAAGCAGGUCAUAGUGAUCCGGUGGUUCUGAAUGGAAGGGCCAUCGCUCAACGGAUAAAAGGUACUCCGGGGAUAACAGGCUGAUACCGCCCAAGAGUUCAUAUCGACGGCGGUGUUUGGCACCUCGAUGUCGGCUCAUCACAUCCUGGGGCUGAAGUAGGUCCCAAGGGUAUGGCUGUUCGCCAUUUAAAGUGGUACGCGAGCUGGGUUUAGAACGUCGUGAGACAGUUCGGUCCCUAUCUGCCGUGGGCGCUGGAGAAUUGAGGGGGGCUGCUCCUAGUACGAGAGGACCGGAGUGGACGCAUCACUGGUGUUCGGGUUGUCAUGCCAAUGGCACUGCCCGGUAGCUAAAUGCGGAAGAGAUAAGUGCUGAAAGCAUCUAAGCACGAAACUUGCCCCGAGAUGAGUUCUCCCUGACCCUUUAAGGGUCCUGAAGGAACGUUGAAGACGACGACGUUGAUAGGCCGGGUGUGUAAGCGCAGCGAUGCGUUGAGCUAACCGGUACUAAUGAACCGUGAGGCUUAACCUUACAACGCCGAAG
rnacentral:rRNA from 1 species